rnacentral:ncRNA from 1 species
GAUUGUUGAGUGUCGGAAAUGGUUCCCGACGCACCUGUUUACAGGUACCUGAGAUGAUGGAUACACCGCCCAUCCAAUAAUC